ensembl:lncRNA
GAAUUAUCAUUUAAAAGUCACAAACAGAAAGAAAAUCUUCACCAAAUAUUUGAGAAAAUCAACACAGAGACUGCUCCCAGCCCUUGUCAGGAACUGUUCAACACAGAACACUCAAAUAAUAGGUCAAAGCUCUGAAAAGAAAAUGUCUUUGUCUCCAGGAAUGUGCACAGCUAUGCCUGAAGAGUGCAGUGUUCAACUUACACCUGGGUUUUUCUUUGGAAAACAGGAAAUAGGUGUUUUCUUACUUGUCUCUUGAAAGAAGGAAGAAUUUUCUUGUCACAGGGCACAAUUGAGCACAGGAACACAGAAAGGGACUGCAGCAUUCCUGCUCCCAGAGAGAUGCACAGCUUCACCAAACUAGGCUGUGGAAUACAUAAUCUAAUUGCAAAGUCAGGUCUGCUUUCAGCAUGGGGUUGGACCAGAUGACCUCCAAGCAUCCUUGCAAUCUAUAAUUUAAUUAUUCUAAUCAGUAAAUAACAAAAAAAAACCCUAAUAUUCUUUCAGUGAGAGGGUUUUGAUAUGUUCUUGCCAUAGCUAUAACAGCUGAUCUAAAGCAUUCAAUGUGAAAAAUAUAUUGUCAUACAAAUUCCUCCUUAUGCACUGCACUGUUCAUGUGUUUUACAGCACACUUUAAAGUAGGACACAACCAUAUUCAAUUACUUUGGUUGACUCUUUACAAAGACACCUCUGUGAAGGGAUAAUCUUGUGCUAAGUGUCUUAGGGCUAGUACAUCUGCAGGGAAGUCAUGAGUUGCUGGGACAGUCAUCUUUCCUGCCUCUCUCUGAAUGUCUCUGGCCCUCAUGGCACACAUCCUGCAGUGCCCAAUGAAUUCCACUUAUCUACAGUAUUCACCAGAACUUUCUGUGUUUUGUGGCCGUCUGUUAUAUUUGUACCAACCUUGCAGCAAUUGCUAGUGACCACAGCAUUUCCACCUUUCCAGGCUUUGUGCUCAAAAAUGUUAUCCAUUUCAAUAGGAAAGAAAGCCCAAGGACACACAUGUUGAGCAAGAAUCUAACUGCUUAGUUUUCUACCAGACAACCAAGGUUUUUUUGCUUAACUGCCAAAAGCAGAACAACAAAACUGUUUGCCAGAUCCUACUCAAUGUCCGCGCAAGUUCCUUCUCAUCCAUCAAAGAUUGUUCAGCUCCAGACAGGACAGGGCAGAAGAAACUGGCCCUUCCCUUCGACUUUAUUGCCCACUGCAGGCACAUAAAUGUGUCCCACCCCAGAGUAUGUCAGGCCACUGGCCAUUGACAUAAUAAUUCCUUUGAAAUGCCAGUGCUCAAAACCAGUAGAGUCCCCAGCUACCCUCGCUGUAGUGAAAGCCAAGUUUCCAAAGACUGCAAGGAAAAGAGGGGUGUUUCCAAGGGCAAGAACAGCAGUCAUGUUCCUGACUAGUUGCUGUCCUUGAAAAAAAAAUCUGUCCUGCAUGUGUGAGCAGCUGGGGCAGGGCAUGAUCUUCCUCCAGGGACAUCCUCUCUUUGCAUUGUUUUCCCUUUUUAAGAGUACAAGUGUUGGGCAGCCGCCUGCAACUGUUUCACUGUAGGAUGAAAUGAAAUAUAGUGUUCUUAAUAAAAGAAAGAAGUAACUCACACAAUAGGAAGAUUUGGUUAGGUUUCUGAAAAAUUAAGAGCAAAGAAGCAGUUCUCCCCAUAUGUCUAAGGCAUUUGAGAGUGAAUAUUUGACUCAUAUAGCUGCAAGGAGUUUGGCAACAUAUGCCAAAUUUCCAGCGGGACAGGCAGAAGGGCCAAUGAGAAAGGAUGCUGACAGGCUAGGAAUGGAGUAGCAGUGUGGUAUUUUAACAAAGAUGAAGAGCGUAGCUCUACAUCUGAGAGCAGCUUUGUUAAUGCAGCUGAGUUUCUCAGGCCACAUAGCUGAACUGUCAGUGGGUUUGGCUGUGUCACCUCAGUAUAAGCAAAGCCCGAUGAAAUGUGAGUAAUUUCUAAAAGAAAACAUUUCUGUGGGUUUGAUUCUCUGUUUUGUGGUCAUUGCCUUGGAAGAAGUAUUAGUAAUUUUGGGCUUUUGCACUUGUAUUGGAAAAAAAAAAAAGUGAGAUAGAGAAAGUUUUAGCAAUGGUUAAAAGCUUGCUGAGGGCCAGAGCUGUGCUGGACCCACAGGGUCACCUGGACUGCUGGCAGCCAGCCCUGCAGGGGCAAGGAGACUGCCUGCUCUGGGGCUUGGCACUGCCUGCCCUCCCCUUCCACCUCCUCCACACUGGGAGCUGAGCUGAGGGUGAGGCAAGUAGAGUCUUGCUCCCUGCCAUGCCUGACGGAGCCGGGGACAGCACACAUGCUGCCCUGCUCUGCAUCCAGCACAGGCACACUCCCUCCCUACCUGCAAACAUGACGGUCAACAACUGGCAGGAUGAGCAGGAGACAGUGGAAAUCAGCCAGUGCAGAGCAGUGACAUGAGCACUCAGGGUAAUCAACAUCUCGAGUCACUUGAGGGAAGACACCUUCCUCCAUCUGGCUUCCAUGUUCCUACAUUGUCCCCUUAGAGCUGGUCCACAGACUGGCCCCCGACAACCCAUUUUGUUCAGAACAGUUAAGCACUGUGCAGAAUGGUAAGACUCAUGAUUCCUCAGCCCAAAUUAAAACAUCCCUCAGAUUGCCUCAGAUGCAUCUGACACUUUCCCCUCUGACCUUUCAGGAGCACUCUGGCAGUCACAGUCCCACCCUCAGAGACUUUAAAUGCUGGGACCAAAGCCCCUUCGCAGAGGGCGGCUCUAGUGACCUGACAGGUGCCCUGCCCAACUCCCUACACAUCUCACAUUCACACAGACAAGAUUUCCUUAGCAGCUCAAUCCCAGGUUUCCCAAGUCAGGGGCUCAGACCUCUGGUUCCUUUAAGUAAUUUUAUUUUGGUGCAGCAACAGAGAAACAGCUCAAGCUUGUGCCUUGGAGAAGGGACACUGAACAAAGGAAACAUUGGGCUUUUAUACCCUGCGGCUGGGGUCUUCCACUUGAGUCCUCAGCUGCUGCUGUGUCUCUGAGUGUCUGGAAACUUGUCUGAGCCAAAGUUCCUCCUGCCCUUUGUUGGACAAAGGGGCAGCACCAUGUCACAACCCCUUCCCUCGAGCUGUCCCCACACAGGGCUCAAUCCGAGCGGCACCUCAGCUACCUGCACUGCAUGGAUUCCUCGACAACUGCCGUGGGGUUAAGGGCCUGGCAGCUCCUACCUCUGGCCAAACCUGGCAGAAGCUCACCUUUGAGCUCACAGGAGUCUGUCAAAUCCAAGGCACUUCCAAAGCCCAAGUAACUUGCAUUAUGAAAGCUGUGUAAAUGUUUCCAACAAAAUUUUGACUUGCUGAAAAAUUUCCAAGGAAAUCUAAGAGUUGACUGUGUAGUUGUGAGUUGCGAAAAAUAAAAAAAAUUUCAUGGUCUUACUUGGGUUGCAAUUGUAGCUCAGUUACAGUUAUCUGCUCUAAAAAAUCUUUUCCUUUAUUAAAAUUCUUGAACAAUAAAAAGUUGCCUUUAUUCCCCCUAAAAGGCAGUGUAAGCUUUGUAGCUAGCUAGGAAAGAGAUCUGUAACAUGUAUUAUGCCAUUUGGCACUUUCCAGAAAUAAUUUUCCAACAGCAUAGAAACACAAUGAGUGCAGUGCAUAUAAACAAACAGAAGGUGCUUUGGGGCUUGAUCUUUAAGGGUUCACCUCACAAUUCUUCCUGCAAAAGUGGUGUCUCUGGCUCUGAUGCUCCUGCAAUGGUUGUACAAAAAUUCAUAUAUUUAGCUUUGUAAUUGCCCCAAAACACGGUUUUGAUUCCCACAGAAGACAUGGCCUGCUGAUUUCUUGGGUUUACAAAGCUUGCAGGGCUACAUUUUUCUGACCAAUUAAAAGCUUACUCCAGAAUUCUUUUAAAGAGCAUGAUGGCUGCAUGUACUUAGGCUUAUCUCAAGAUAAGACAACACUUUUCCACAAGCAGGGAAGGAGCAACAGCUUCUGUCCUGUGUACCCUGCAUGUCCUGAGCAUGGCAGGUCUGCAAAGAGAGAGAGUAAUACUUUAAAGCAAAGGCUGCACUCACCCAUAGCUCAGGUGAAGAUGUUGGCAUUGUUGAUAGCUCUUUUUCUGUACUAUUGCAUCAAACUUAGCUGCCAACAUUGGAUGCUGUAGGCAAAGCCAGCUCCAUGCUAAGGGAGGAACAAUUACACUCUCUGUCCAGAGCCAGAGAAAGGGCCAGCCCAGACCAAAGAUCUCAGUCCAAGAAUCGGCUCUCCCUAUAUGCGAAAAGACAGGUUUCCAUCCUGCCACACUCAUUGUUUACAUCUUCCAUCCAUAGGGCUUAGGAAGCUGCCCCAACCAAGCACCUUCACUUAGAGCAGCAAGAGAGACUGUCACAAGUCACUCACAAUUAUUUACAGUUUCUUUCCAUCCUUAAGAUGGAAAGAGAUCAAGGAAAUCAGUGAAAUGCAUUAAUAAGACUAUUUCAAUUACUUUUCUCCCCUUACUUACCAGUUACUUUUAUACUCUUUAUCUGUCUCUCACUUGGUGGCUUGCAGACACUUUGAUAGAAAGCCACAGAAACCACUGCAGCAAGUACUUCACCAGUACUGGGGAAACUCUCAGGGGAGAGGAGAAGAAAUAAGUACAAAAUUGUUACUCUUUUUGCUCUCUGCGUUUAUUUAUUUUGGACCCAUUGGGCUAGACCGCAACUAAAACUUUAUGAACCUAAUAAAAUUCCCAACAUUCUCAGACAUGGGUCGUGAUGUUUAUAUAUUAGGCAGAAUACAAAGGUGUAUUUAUGAGGAGAUUGGAAGUACUUAGAGAUGCUUGAGCUCAGGCAAAGCAUAAAACACACAUAAGAAAUAUUUUCAAACUUAACACAGGUAAAAUCAAGCUAACCAGAUGACACAUCACAACCAGAAGUGUUUCAGAAAUGUUGUGCUCCUUAUCACAGAACCAUCCCACAUAGUCACAACCAUGGAGUUUGGGACAAAUUAUUUUUUUUCAAUAGAUGUUAUUUAUUUAUUUAUUUGCAUUGCUCUGCUGUGUCUAAAAUGCAGCUCUAUCAUUAUGGUAGUGGUAGUAACCAUAAACACUAAUAAACAGGAGAAGGUUGCAAGAGUAAACUUACCUUUUCCUUUCUGUCUUCAUAAAACACACACUGUUCCCUGAUUCAAUAAGCAAGAUGCACUGUUUGACUCAAGUCGAAGGAUAAUGGGUCUUGGCAACUGAUUAGGCUUUCCAUCUCUGUAAAUAAGAAAAGGCUAGAGGGAAUAUAUGCUGGGAUUUAUUUCUGCCAGGAGCAAAUAAACAGUUCUGUCAAUACACAGAUAAACCCACUUCCCUACUUCCCCCAUCUCUGUCUUGUCUUUGUCCAUCUCCAUUCCACCUCAUUAAAAAAAAAAAAAAAAAA